GGGUGAUUAGCUCAGCUGGGAGAGCACCUCCCUUACAAGGAGAGGGUCGGCGGUUCGAUCCCGUCAUCACCCACCA
rnacentral:tRNA from 6 species